rnacentral:rRNA from 1 species
GCCCGAAGCCGAUUAUCUAACCUUUUGGAAGAAGUCGUCGAAGGUGGAAUCAAUAACUGGGGUGAAGUCGUGACAAGGGAGCCGGAUCGGAAGGUGCGUCUGGAUCACCUCCUUGUUAAGGAGA